rnacentral:rRNA from 1 species
AAAACGACUCUCGGCAACGGAUAUCUCGGCUCUCGCAUCGAUGAAGAACGUAGCGAAAUGCGAUACUUGGUGUGAAUUGCAGAAUCCCGUGAACCAUCGAGUCUUUGAACGCAAGUUGCGCCCCAAGCCUUCUGGCCGAGGGCACGUCUGCCUGGGUGUCACGA